ACGCUCGACACCUACGGGAGGCAGCAGUGAGAAUAUUGGUCAAUGGGGCGCAGGCCUGAACCAGCCAAGUAGCGUGAAGGAUGACUGCCCUAUGGGUCGUAAACUUCUUUUAUAUGGGAAUAAAGUUUUCCACGUGUGGAAUUUUGUAUGUACCAUAUGAAUAAGGAUCGGCUAACUCCGUGCCAGUAGCCGCGGUAAUCUGAGCGGGCUGGCAAGGC
rnacentral:rRNA from 1 species